UGGGGAAUAUUGCACAAUGGGCGCAAGCCUGAUGCAGCCAUGCCGCGUGUAUGAAGAAGGCCUUCGGGUUGUAAAGUACUUUCAGUCGGGAGGUAGGUGUCAAGGUUAAUAACCUUGGCAAUUGACGUUACCGACAGAAGAAGCACCGGCUAACUCCGUGCACGCAGCCGCGGUAAUAUGGAGGGUGCAAGCGUUAAUCGGAAGUACUGGGCGUAAAGCGCACGCAGGCGGUCUGUCAAGUCGGAUGUUAAAUCCCCGGGCUCAACCGGAGAACUGAAUUCGAAACUGACAGGCUAGAGUAUUGGCGAGGGGGGAGGAUUUCCAGAUGUAUCGGUGAAUUACGUUGAUAGCUGGAGGAAUACCGGUGGCGAAGACGGCCCACUGGUCAAAGACUGACGCUCAGGUGCGAAAGCGUGGGGAGCAAACAGG
rnacentral:rRNA from 1 species